rnacentral:rRNA from 1 species
GACGAACGCUGGCGGCGUGCUUAACACAUGCAAGUCGAACGGAAAGGCCCUGCUUGCCGGGUACUCGAGUGGCGAACGGGUGAGUAACACGUGGGUGAUCUGCCCUGCACUUCGGGAUAAGCCUGGGAAACUGGGUCUAAUACCGGAUAGGAGCCAUUUUUAGUGUGAUGGUUGGAAAGUUUUUUCGGUGUAGGAUGAGCUCGCGGUCUAUCAGCUUGUUGGUGGGGUAAUGGCCUACCAAGGCGGCGACGGGUAGCCGGCCUGAGAGGGUGGACGGCCACAUUGGGACUGAGAUACGGCCCAGACUCCUACGGGAGGCAGCAGUGGGGAAUAUUGCACAAUGGGCGCAAGCCUGAUGCAGCGACGCCGCGUGGGGGAUGACGGCCUUCGGGUUGUAAACUCCUUUCGCUAGGGACGAAGCUUUUUGUGACGGUACCUAGAUAAGAAGCACCGGCUAACUACGUG